GAUGAACGCUGGCGGCAUGCUUAACACAUGCGAGUCGAACGGGAAGUGGUGUUUCCAGUGGCUAACGGGUGAGUAACGCGUAAGAACCUGCCCUUGGGAGGGGAACAACAACUGGAAACGGUUGCUAAUACCCCGUAGGCCGAGGAGCAAAAGGAGAAAUCCGCCCAAGGAGGGGUUCGCGUCUGAUUAGCUAGUUGGUGAUGUAAUAGCUUACCAAGGCGAUGGUCUGUAGCUGGUCCGAGAGGAUGAUCAGCCACACUGGGACUGAGACACGGACCAGACUCCUUCGGGAGACAGGAGUGGGGAAUUUUCCGCAAUGCGCGAUAGCCUGACGGAGCAAUGCCGCGUGGAGGUGGAAGGCCUACGGGUCGUCAACUUCUUUUCUCGGAGAAGAAACAAUGACGGUAUCUGAGGAAUAAGCAUCGGCUAACUCUGUG
rnacentral:rRNA from 1 species